AGUGAACGCUGGCGGUAGGCCUAACACAUGCAAGUCGAACGGCAGCACAGUAAGAGCUUGCUCUUACGGGUGGCGAGUGGCGGACGGGUGAGGAAUACAUCGGAAUCUACUUUUUCGUGGGGGAUAACGUAGGGAAACUUACGCUAAUACCGCAUACGACCUACGGGUGAAAGCAGGGGAUCUUCGGACCUUGCGCGAUUGAAUGAGCCGAGGUCGGAUUAGCUAGUUGGCGGGGUAAAGGCCCACCAAGGCGACGAUCCGUAGCUGGUCUGAGAGGAUGAUCAGCCACACUGGAACUGAGACACGGUCCAGACUCCUACGGGAGGCAGCAGUGGGGAAUAUUGGACAAUGGGCGAAAGCCUGAUCCAGCCAUGCCGCGUGGGUGAAGAAGGCCUUCGGGUUGUAAAGCCCUUUUGUUGGGAAAGAAAAGCAGCAGGUUAAUACCCCGCUGUUCUGACGGUACCCAAAGAAUAAGCACCGGCUAACUUCGUG
rnacentral:rRNA from 1 species